CAGACACACUCAAACUGACACACUCACACAGGCCCACAAAUGCCAUAAACACCCUCACACAUACACUCAAACGGAUAUUGUUGGGAGCCACACAAAGACAACAAGAUGGCCACAGUUCAUGAGGUUCCUGCUUCACUUCCUGGAGAUUAGCUGCGAGCCCGCGCGCGCCAACAAGAAAGCCCGCGCGCGCCAAGAGAUACUCUUCUCCCCCUCCUUCCCCAUUAUCAUAUGCCAAUCAGAAUGUAACUCGCUGCGCCAUCCCUGCUAUGCAGCCAAUCCCCUGCUUACAAGUAUCCUAUGGCCCACUCUGCCCCUGAACAUUAGUAUAUAUGUACCCCCGUCUUACAAUAAAAUUUGAAGGCUUGAUCAGAACAUUGUCUUGCCUUCGCUCUUCUCUCGCCCCCAUUUUCUUUCAGGUCGGAUCUCCCUCGUCCCCACAAAUAACUAGGUCCCGCUGGACGGGACAAGUGGCGCCCAACGUGGGGCACGAGGUGCAGAUCCUUCACAGGCGGACCCCCGAGUGAGAUAUCGUCUGCGCAGACCCCUUCUUGAUGAAACAAUAGGAGACGCCUUUCGCCGCUCACGGAGGUCGUCGUCCCUGAAGGCAGGAAGUAGAUCCACGCAUCUCAUGUGAAACCUGUUGUCCCAACCGAAACAACUGACGAUCAUCCCGCGUGGAGAGCCCGAUCCACCAAGAACCCUCUCCGGCUUAAGAUCAGCAGAACGCCCCUAAGAUGAUCGCCUUCGAACUGUGUGCCAUUGUACUGGUACUGUGCUCCCUUCCCCCAGGCAGAUGUUCCAGCCCACAGCAGUCUCACAACUUGACCUGGGAGGUGAUCAGUGGGACAGGGAACGUAGUUUGGAGUGUGUCAAAAAUAGCACACCCCUAUUCCUGGUGGCCAGACCUGUACCCCGACCUGUGCACAUUAGCAAUAGAUGCAGCCAAUUGGGGUUUGGAAGGACACACAGACUUCCAAAAACCCCCCUCCUCCCCUGGGAGCCUAGGAUCGCCCCCUUGGGGAGGAUGCGGAGAACCCAGCAAGAGGAGAGAGUUGAAAACCCUCACUUUCUAUGUCUGCCCUGGUUACCAUCGUAGCCAGGCCCUUAAUUGGAAGUGUCAAGGAUUAUCAGAUUUUUACUGUGCAAGCUGGGGUUGUGAGACCUCAGGUGACACCUACUGGCGGCCCUCCUCCUCAUGGGACCUUAUUAAAGUCACUGCUAAUUACACCCACUCAAA